rnacentral:rRNA from 1 species
AUUGAACGCUGGCGGCAGGCCUAACACAUGCAAGUCGAACGAGUGGCGGACGGGUGAGUAAUGUCUGGGACACUUCCCGAUGGAGGGGGACAACUACUGGAAACGGUAGCUAAUCCCGCAUACCAUCGGAUGUGCCCAGAUGGGAUUGGCUAGUAGGUGGGGUAACGGCUCACCUAGGCCACGAUCCCUAGCUGGUCUGAGCGGAUGACCAGCCACACUGGAACUGAGACACGGUCCAGACUCCUACGGGAGUCAGCAGUGGGGAAUAUUGCACAAUGGGGGCAAGCCUGAUGCAGCCAUGCCGCGUGUGUGAAGAAGGCCUUCGGGUUGUAAAGUACUUUCAGCGAGGAGGCGGUACUCGCAGAAGAAGCACCGGCUAACUCCGUGCCAGCAGCCGCGGUAAUUC